rnacentral:rRNA from 1 species
UAGAGUUUGAUCAUGGCUCAGGAUGAACGCUAGCGACAGGCCUAACACAUGCAAGUCGAGGGGCAUCGGGGCGAGGAGCAAUCCUUGCCGCCGGCGACCGGCGCACGGGUGAGUAACGCGUAUGCGACCUGCCCGUUGCAGGGGGAUAAUCGGGAGAAAUCCCGUCUAAUACCGCGUAAUGCCGCGGGGCUGCAUGGCCCUGCGGCCAAAGGGAGCGAUUCCGGCAACGGAUGGGCAUGCGUGACAUUAGCUAGUUGGCGGGGCAACGGCCCACCAAGGCGACGAUGUCUAGGGGUUCUGAGAGGAAGGUCCCCCACACUGGUACUGAGACACGGACCAGACUCCUACGGGAGGCAGCAGUGAGGAAUAUUGGUCAAUGGGCGCGAGCCUGAACCAGCCAAGUCGCGUGAGGGAUGACGGCCCUACGGGUUGUAAACCUCUUUUGUCGGGGAGCAAAUUCCGCCACGUGUGGCGGAGUCGAGAGUACCCGAAGAAAAAGCAUCGGCUAACUCCGUGCCAGCAGCCGCGGUAAUACGGAGGAUGCGAGCGUUAUCCGGAUUUAUUGGGUUUAAAGGGUGCGUAGGCGGACUGUCAAGUCAGCGGUAAAAUACGGGGGCUCAACCUCCGCCCGCCGUUGAAACUGACGGUCUUGAGUGGGCGAGAAGUAUGCGGAAUGCGUGGUGUAGCGGUGAAAUGCAUAGAUAUCACGCAGAACUCCGAUUGCGAAGGCAGCAUACCGGCGCCCAACUGACGCUGAAGCACGAAAGCGUGGGUAUCGAACAGGAUUAGAUACCCUGGUAGUCCACGCAGUAAACGAUGAAUACUAGCUGUCCGGGGCGAAUGAGCCCUGGGUGGCACAGCGAAAGCGUUAAGUAUUCCACCUGGGGAGUACGCCGGCAACGGUGAAACUCAAAGGAAUUGACGGGGGCCCGCACAAGCGGAGGAACAUGUGGUUUAAUUCGAUGAUACGCGAGGAACCUUACCCGGGCUCAAACGACACAGGAACGUACCUGAAAGGGUUCGGCUCUACGGAGCCUGUGUCGAGGUGCUGCAUGGUUGUCGUCAGCUCGUGCCGUGAGGUGUCGGCUUAAGUGCCAUAACGAGCGCAACCCCCAUCGACAGUUGCUAACAGGUCAGGCUGAGGACUCUGUCGAGACUGCCGGCGCAAGCUGCGAGGAAGGCGGGGAUGACGUCAAAUCAGCACGGCCCUUACGUCCGGGGCGACACACGUGUUACAAUGGCAGGUACAGCGGGAAGCCACCUGGCGACAGGGAGCGGAACCCGAAAGCCUGUCUCAGUUCGGAUUGGAGUCUGCAACCCGACUCCAUGAAGCUGGAUUCGCUAGUAAUCGCGCAUCAGCCACGGCGCGGUGAAUACGUUCCCGGGCCUUGUACACACCGCCCGUCAAGCCAUGGAAGCCGGGGGUGCCUGAAGUGCGCUGCCGCGAGGAGCGCCCUAGGGUAAAACCGGUGACUGGGGCUAAGUCGUAAUCAAGGUAGCCGUAA